rnacentral:lncRNA from 1 species
GUGCAGAGGUGCCUGAGUCAGAGCUGGGCAUCAGAUCCAGAGCUGUUGUAACAGGAAGUUAGUUGUACGUCUCCCAGGAUGAGUGAUGGCCGUUAAACUCAGAUCCUCCGGAAAAGCAUCGAGGAACUCCCAACUGCUGACUCAUCUCUCCGUCUUGGCACUGGCUACCUGCUGCAGCCUCAUCACCUGUAGUUAACUUUAUGAAUAGUCACAGAAUGAGAGGUUGUGGGAAUUAAAAGUAUGAGUGCUUAGGACAAUAAAAUACAAGGAUCCUGGGUUCUAUCUAUAAAAAGUGCUCGAGAAUACUAUUGGACAAGUGUCAUAGCAGACGGGCGGUUUCUGGACCACUGUGCUGUAAGGUGGGGUGCUGUAAGGUGUGCCUGCCUGGGCCACCCUGUAUAUGGCUUAGAAAUGACAAGAGACAGGGAACCUAAGCUGUUAGUUACGUGUUUAAAACAGUGAUGUUUGACAUUACAUCAAAAUAAGGCUUAAACAUGAAAACUUUCAGGCCCUAUGUGGUGGUGCACACCUGUAAUCGCAGCACUGAGGAGGCAGAGGCAGGCGGAUCUCUGAGUUUGAUGCCAGCCUGGUCUACAGAGCAAGUUCCAGGACAGCCAGGGCUACACAGGAAACCCUCUCUCUGGAAACAGGACGAUGAUGAGGGGUGGUGUGGACUGUAAUGCUUAAUAUGACUGUGGCCAGCCUAGUCUACAGAGCAACUGCAUAGAAAAGCCUGGUCCCAAAAAACAAAAAAGUUAAAGAGCUGGAAUCAAAAAAAAAAAAAAAAAAAAAAAAAACCUU